CUGUGAAAUCCCGAGGCUCAACCUCGGGCUUGCAGUGGGUACGGGCAGACUAGAGUGCGGUAGGGGAGAUUGGAAUUCCUGGUGUAGCGGUGGAAUGCGCAGAUAUCAGGAGGAACACCGAUGGCGAAGGCAGAUCUCUGGGCCGUAACUGACGCUGAGGAGCGAAAGCGUGGGGAGCGAACAGGAUUAGAUACCCUGGUAGUCCACGCCGUAAACGUUGGGCGCUAGAUGUAGGGACCUUUCCACGGUUUCUGUGUCGUAGCUAACGCAUUAAGCGCCCCGCCUGGGGAGUACGGCCGCAAGGCUAAAACUCAAAGGAAUUGACGGGGGCCCGCACAAGCGGCGGAGCAUGCGGAUUAAUUCGAUGCAACGCGAAGAACCUUACCAAGGCUUGACAUACACCGGAAACGGCCAGAGAUGGUUGCCCCCUUGUGGUCGGUGUACAGGUGGUGCAUGGUUGUCGUCAGCUCGUGUCGUGAGAUGUUGGGUUAAGUCCCGCAACGAGCGCAACCCUCGUUCUAUGUUGCCAGCGCGUUAUGGCGGGGACUCAUAGGAGACUGCCGGGGUCAACUCGGAGGAAGGUGGGGAUGACGUCAAAUCAUCAUGCCCCUUAUGUCUUGGGCUUCACGCAUGCUACAAUGGCCGGUACAAAGGGCUGCGAUACCGUAAGGUGGAGCGAAUCCCAAAAAGCCGGUCUCAGUUCGGAUUGAGGUCUGCAACUCGACCUCAUGAAGUCGGAGUCGCUAGUAAUCGCAGAUCAGCAACGCUGCGGUGAAUACGUUCCCGGGCCUUGUACACACCGCCCGUCAAGUCAUG
rnacentral:rRNA from 1 species